AACGAACGCUGGCGGCAGGCCUAACACAUGCAAGUCGAGCGGGGACUUCGGUUCUAGCGGCGGAAGGGUGAGUAACGCGGGGGAAUGUGCCCUUCUCUACGGAAUAGCCAUGGGAAACUGGGAGUAAAAACGUAUACGCCCGAGGGGGGAAAGAUUGAUCGGAGAAGGAGCAGGCCGCGUUGGAUUCGGUUGUUGGGGGGGUAAUGGCCUACCAAGCCGACGAUCCAUAGCUUGGUUGAGAGGAUGAUCAGCCACACUGGGACUGAGACACGGCCCAGACUCCUACGGGAGGCAGCAGUGGGGAAUCUUAGACAAUGGGGGCAACCCUGAUCGAGCCAUGCCGCGUGAGUGAUGAAGGCCUUAGGGUUGUAAAGCUCUUUCAGCUGAGAAGAUAAUGACGGUACCUGCAGAAGAAGCCCCGGCUAACUCCGUG
rnacentral:rRNA from 1 species